rnacentral:rRNA from 1 species
AAUCAACGCUGGCGGCGUGCCUAACACAUGCAAGUCGAACGCGAAAGCCCCGCAAGGGGUCAGUAGAGUGGCAAACGGGUGAGUAACACGUGGGUGACCUGCCUUCGAGUGGGGGAUAACGUCCCGAAAGGGACGCUAAUACCGCAUGACAUCCUGCUUUUGAAAAAGCGGAGAUCAAAGCUGGGGAUCGCAAGACCUAGCGCUUGAAGAGGGGCCCGCGCCUGAUUAGCUAGUUGGUGAGGUAACGGCUCACCAAGGCGACGAUCAGUAUCCGGCCUGAGAGGGCGGACGGACACACUGGGACUGAGACACGGCCCAGACUCCUACGGGAGGCAGCAGUGGGGAAUUGUUCACAAUGGGCGCAAGCCUGACGACGCAACGCCGCGUGGAGGACGAAGAUCUUCGGGUCGUAAACUCCUGUCGAGCGGGACGAACGCUUCGCGGAUGAAUAAUCCGCGGAAUUGACGGUACCGCUAAAGGAAGCCCCGGCUAACUCCGUG